UACGAAGGGGGCUAGCGUUGUUCGGAAUUACUGGGCGUAAAGCGCACGUAGGCGGAUCGAUCAGUCAGGGGUGAAAUCCCAGGGCUCAACCCUGGAACUGCCUUUGAUACUGUCGAUCUGGAGUAUGGAAGAGGUGAGUGGAAUUCCGAGUGUAGAGGUGAAAUUCGUAGAUAUUCGGAGGAACACUAGUGGCGAAGGCGGCUCACUGGUCCAUUACUGACGCUGAGGUGCGAAAGCGUGGGGAGCAAACAGG
rnacentral:rRNA from 1 species